AUGAAGUUAAACUUUGUUCAGUUUUCUUCCUGUAGCGUUUGUUCCAAAACUGGACAGGGCAAGAGGUAGCACUGGAAAGACAUGACUUUGUGUAUUCUUCUUCUGGGGUCUUCCUACGAAGUACCAUUUAUUACAUGGAGGAUUCACGGUUUAAACCUGUUGAACACGCUCAAACUUACCUUGUCAAAUUAAGCCGAGUUAAGAUUUCCCUGGAAGGCUACAAUUCCCAAUCCUGGAAACUAAAUCGAUGAUAACUCUGUUAAGAUGGCUGGUUUUUAAAUGACUAUUGUCUAUCAUACUAUUUCAAACAUGAUUUUAAGCACUUAUUUGACUUCUAAAAGGAAACUUUGAAGUUUCUUCAAUUAUAAUGGACUAUUUAGGCAAAGAUUUGUGGCGUGAGGGGAAGGAGUUAAUUAUUUUUUGAGUUCUGUGCUGGACUAACAGCUCAGAGAGCCAGACCUGUUUUCAUCACUUUCUGUCUGACGUGUGUUAUAAGGCCAGAUGUAAACAGUGUUAUUAAAACCACUCAGUAUCAGGUCUUCAAGAUGGCUCAGAGGAUAAAGUUGCUUUACAACAAGACUCAUGAGUUCAGUUCCAUCCCCAAGACCCACAUGGUAGAGAGAACCAAAUCCUGUAUGUUACUUUUUGACCUACACACAGAGGACUUGGUACACACACACACACACACACACACACACACACACACACACACUUAAAAUAUAUUCAGUAGUUAUUGUGUGCAUAUUCUAAGUACUAGGAAGGGUUGAUCUCUGUUAGAAUAAAGAUAAAACACCAAACACC
rnacentral:lncRNA from 1 species